GUGCUUUGCUGUGGAUGAGUUUAAUGCCAGCAAGUGGCCUGCUGCAGCUCUGUGACCAGGAGGAGAGACCCACAUCAAUGCAUACAGCAGCCCAGCAGAAACAGGAGCCGUGCGGAGCUGGAAGGCAUCACCAGUGGAAGUGAAGGGAGCUCUCAUUAGGGGUCUCGAAAGCUGCAGACUAGAAUAGUAAAGGCAGGCGGUGACCUGAGUAACCUGGGCCCCAGGCUUUACAAGAAUGAUUCAUCCUCGGGGAUGUGGGGAAAGGACGUAGGGGAUUCCGCAUGGAGAUGCUGCGUUAGCCAUAACUUCAGUGUGGUCGUGACUAACGGAAAUAUAUACUGCUCUGCACAGAUCGCUCUUUUGGAGACCAGCCCAAACUCAUGUGGCUGGAUGUAAAGGUGCCUUAUAGGAACGCAAGCCCAGGAAGGGCACUCCCUGGAAUGUUUCUGACAGCUUCCAGAAACAGAGAGCAAGUCUGACGAGCUUGGAUCGAAAAGUGCAAAAUUCCAUGCACAG